AACACACGCACACAGAACGCAAAGCAAGUAAAAUCGGAACGGUGCGAUUAAGACCUUCAUUCCGGAUUUAAUUUUUAGUCUCGACUUUAAGUUUUGCAGUUCUAGAGUCGAGGUGGCCAUGGAAGUCGAGAAUGACUAGAGAUUAUGUACUUCCAUAGAAUUUUAAGUUGAACUUAUACAUUUUAGUUUAUCGUUUUAUAUCAUGUUAUAACUUUUAGUUUUGGCAAGA